rnacentral:lncRNA from 1 species
AUAAGGAGUGAAUUACUUUUGACUUUUUAACUUUUUUUAAAGGAAGACACUAGAAACUAUUUAAGAAUUGAUUUAAAAUCUGCUUGGGGGAUGAAUAUUGAUACCACAAAGUGAGAUUUUUUUUGGUGGUACAAAAAUCUGUCAUUAACUAUCUAUCAUUUAUCUGUCUAUACUGCAGCUUAGAUUUGCUCGCACAAGACUGACUGCAGGGGUUUUUCUGAGGUUAGGGAAUAGUAUUGUGCUAUGUUGGCAUAAUUCACAGGCAUAGCACUCACUACUACAACAUGUUGUAUCAAUAAUAAAUAAAUUUGGGAUGGUGUCAACACUUUUCCCUGGUGGCCCUUGAAGACAUCCAUGCUCUUGCUGCCAUUUUUUUAGAAUUCACUUAAGUAAAUAGUAAAAGACCUAUUAAAUCAAUACUAACUUCCAAUUUUUCUGGUCUUCAGAGUGCUCUGAAUGUAUUUGGGAAUUGGGCUUGAUUUAUGAAAUAACCCAUCAUUCUUGUUUCUUUCACUUUCUUCUGAAGGAACCAAAUCUUACAGAGGCCCCAAGACCAGUGUCUGAGAAGCCCAGACGACGAAGACUGCUUUCCCUGGACACUUUCCGAGGAAUUUAACCAGAAACUGCUCAUGCACCUUCAAACUUGUUCUUCCAACCAUAUAAGCUAGCAGCAUCUUUCUUUUUAACAGAAGGUAUUUUUGAAUUUUGCACCCUGUUCAAGCACUUGUCAUUUCUCUGCACAAUGGAAUUUUGAUUUACACCCAAUCCCUAGUUUAAGGCUGGAGUGUUUUUCAUAUAGUGAGUUGUUUUAUAUUGUGUUCAGGUAACUAAUGGGAAAAACAGCUUUUCAGAACAAUACCCUAGGUAAAGGUAAAGGUUCCCCUUGACAAUUUUUGUCCAGUCGUGUUCGACGCUAGGGGGUGGUGCUCAUCCCCGUUUCCAAGCCAUAGAGCCAGCGUUUCGUCCGAAGACAAUCUUCCGUAGUCACAUGGCCAGUGCAACUUAGACACGGAACGCUGUUACCUUCCCACCGAAGUGGUCCCUAUUUAUCUACUUGCAUUUGCAUGCUUUCGAACUGCUAGGUU